rnacentral:rRNA from 1 species
ACGCUCGACACCUACGGGUGGCAGCAGUGGGGAAUAUUGCACAAUGGGGGAAACCCUGAUGCAGCGACGCCGCGUGGAGGAAGAAGGUCUUCGGAUUGUAAACUCCUGUUGUUGGGGAAAAAGAGGAUGGUACCCAACAAGGAAGUGACGGCUAACUACGUGCCUGCAGCCGCGGUAAUCUGAGCGGGCUGGCAAGGC